rnacentral:misc_RNA from 1 species
UGGUCCGUUAUCCACAUCAAAACUGUAUUCCAGAGGAUGAAAAACUAAUCACUUUUCAAAAUUGCAAAGCAGAAUACAGGGAGAAACAGAGUUGUCAAAAUGCCAAAACGGAAAGCAUUUUAUUUCCUAAGAUAUAUAAUUCCUAUUGAACCAGUAACAUUAAGUUUCCAAACAACUCACUAUAAAGAAAGCAUCACUGAUUUGUUUUAGAGAAGUAACAUGAAAUAAUAAUUUGUCUGCUGUAGAGUACAUAAAAAAUUAACUGUUUGAAGACAAAUGUCAACAUGCAUUCUGAUGGUUUGCAUUAAGCAUCUGCUACCUUUAAUUUCUCAAACAUGUCUGAGUUCUUUGUAAAUUUUCCGAAAGACUUUAACGAGUUACAUGAUUUAUGAACAGAAAAUAUAUUCAGAUAGUUUUACAAUACAAUGUUUCAUAUUGCAUUUCACGUUAAUAAUUGAGAUGAUCACUGAAACAUGACCAAUAAUAAAGGCAAUUUAGCAAGCCACACCAAGAAAAUAUACCCUUCUUGAACCUUCAUUUAUGUGCAGCUUCAAUGCAAUACAGUCAGUAUUUAAAGGUUCAUUACUUAUACUUCCUGGGUUGAAAGUGAAAGUUUGCAAUGGAUCUUUUGUCAAAGAUGGCCAAUGAUUUGAUAAAUAAGUCCACUGUAAUUAGUACAACACAAAGUAUGCCAAAAAUUCUGAAAGGUAACCAUUCUUUCUUUCCUUUCUCUCGUCUCCUUUCUUCAAAAUAUAUCUAAGUAAUUGUUUUACAAACAUUGGUAUAAAGGUUAAAUUGUAAAAAACAAAAAUUUGAAAUGUUGCAAGGAGGAAAAAUGACAAUGAAUAGAAAUGUUAAUCACAUCAAACCAACAACCAUAUGAUGCAUCAAAUUCAGGCAUAUAAUCACCAACUCAGCAAAAUGUUCAUCUAAGUAUGAAGAUUUAUUGGUCUUAUUCGGUCAAACAUCAAGCUAAUUAAUAAAAGACGAGAACUUGUAUAACCAAUGUGGCAAUAGAAAAGGUAAACCUUAUAUCAAAUGAAACCCCACUUUGUC